UGAACGCUAGCUACAGGCUUAACACAUGCAAGUCGAGGGGCAUCAGGAAGAAAGCUUGCUUUCUUUGCUGGCGACCGGCGCACGGGUGAGUAACACGUAUCCAACCUGCCCUUUACUCGGGGAUAGCCUUUCGAAAGAAAGAUUAAUACCCGAUAGCAUAAUGAUUCCGCAUGGUUUCAUUAUUAAAGGAUUCCGGUAAAGGAUGGGGAUGCGUUCCAUUAGGUUGUUGGUGAGGUAACGGCUCACCAAGCCUUCGAUGGAUAGGGGUUCUGAGAGGAAGGUCCCCCACAUUGGAACUGAGACACGGUCCAAACUCCUACGGGAGGCAGCAGUGAGGAAUAUUGGUCAAUGGGCGCUAGCCUGAACCAGCCAAGUAGCGUGAAGGAUGAAGGCUCUAUGGGUCGUAAACUUCUUUUAUAUAAGAAUAAAGUGCAGUAUGUAUACUGUUUUGUAUGUAUUAUAUGAAUAAGGAUCGGCUAACUCCGUGCCAGCAGCCGCGGUAAUACGGAGGAUCCGAGCGUUAUCCGGAUUUAUUGGGUUUAAAGGGAGCGUAGGUGGACUGGUAAGUCAGUUGUGAAAGUUUGCGGCUCAACCGUAAAAUUGCAGUUGAUACUGUCAGUCUUGAGUACAGUAGAGGUGGGCGGAAUUCGUGGUGUAGCGGUGAAAUGCUUAGAUAUCACGAAGAACUCCGAUUGCGAAGGCAGCUCACUGGACUGCAACUGACACUGAUGCUCGAAAGUGUGGGUAUCAAACAGGAUUAGAUACCCUGGUAGUCCACACAGUAAACGAUGAAUACUCGCUGUUUGCGAUAUACAGUAAGCGGCCAAGCGAAAGCAUUAAGUAUUCCACCUGGGGAGUACGCCGGCAACGGUGAAACUCAAAGGAAUUGACGGGGGCCCGCACAAGCGGAGGAACAUGUGGUUUAAUUCGAUGAUACGCGAGGAACCUUACCCGGGCUUAAAUUGCAGUGGAAUGAUGUGGAAACAUGUCAGUGAGCAAUCACCGCUGUGAAGGUGCUGCAUGGUUGUCGUCAGCUCGUGCCGUGAGGUGUCGGCUUAAGUGCCAUAACGAGCGCAACCCUUAUCUUUAGUUACUAACAGGUUAUGCUGAGGACUCUGGAGAGACUGCCGUCGUAAGAUGUGAGGAAGGUGGGGAUGACGUCAAAUCAGCACGGCCCUUACGUCCGGGGCUACACACGUGUUACAAUGGGGGGUACAGAAGGCAGCUAGCGGGUGACCGUAUGCUAAUCCCAAAAGCCUCUCUCAGUUCGGAUCGAAGUCUGCAACCCGACUUCGUGAAGCUGGAUUCGCUAGUAAUCGCGCAUCAGCCACGGCGCGGUGAAUACGUUCCCGGGCCUUGUACACACCGCCCGUCAAGCCAUGGGAGCCGGGGGUACCUGAAGUACGUAACCGCAAGGAUCGUCCUAGGGUAAAACUGGUGACUGGGGCU
rnacentral:rRNA from 1 species